UACAGAGGGUGCAAGCGUUGUUCGGAAUUAUUGGGCGUAAAGGGUGCGUAGGCGGUGCGGUAAGUCUGUUGUGAAAUCUCCCGGCUUAACUGGGAGGGUGCAGCGGAAACUAGAGUGCUAGAGGGUGGGAGAGGUAAGCGGAAUUCCUGGUGUAGCGGUGAAAUGCGUAGAGAUCGGGAGGAACACCAGAGGCGAAGGCGGCGACCUGGACAGCAACUGACACUCAACUGCGAAAGCGUGGGGAGCAAACAGG
rnacentral:rRNA from 1 species